CCAGAGAACUUAGCAGAGAUGCUUUGGUGCCUUCGGGAACUCUGAGACAGGUGCUGCAUGGCUGUCGUCAGCUCGUGUUGUGAAAUGUUGGGUUAAGUCCCGCAACGAGCGCAACCCUUAUCCUUUGUUGCCAGCGGCUCGGCCGGGAACUCAAAGGAGACUGCCGGUGAUAAACCGGAGGAAGGUGGGGAUGACGUCAAGUCAUCAUGGCCCUUACGGCCAGGGCUACACACGUGCUACAAUGGCGCAUACAAGAGAAGCGACCUCGCGAGAGCAAGCGGACCUCAUAAAGUGCGUCGUAGUCCGGAUUGGAGUCUGCAACUCGACUCCAUGAAGUCGGAAUCGCUAGUAAUCGUAGAUCAGAAUGCUACGGUGAAUACGUUCCCGGGCCUUGUACACACCGCCCGUCACACCAUGGGAGUGGGUUGCAAAAGAAGUAGGUAGCUUAACCUUCGGGAGGGCGCUUACCACUUUGUGAUUCAUGACUGGGGUGAAGUCGUAACAAGGUAGGCGUAGCGAG
rnacentral:rRNA from 1 species